GGACCAUUGGCACAAUGGAUAACAUGUCUGAUUAUGGAUCAGAAGAAUCUAGGUUUGACUCUUGGCUGGCUCG